rnacentral:rRNA from 1 species
UCAAUUGAAGGGUUUGAUCCUGGCUCAGAAUGAACGUUGGCGGCGUGGAUUAGGCAUGCAAGUCGAGCGAUGAAGCAGUGCUUGCACUGUGGAUUAGCGGCGAAAGGGAGAGUAACGCGUAGAUACGUACCCUUCGGUCUGGAAUAGCUACGGGAAACUGUAGGUAAUUCCAGAUAACGUCUCCGGACCAAAGAUUUAUUGCCGGAGGAGCGGUCUGCGUCCUAUUAGGUUGUUGGUGUGGUAAUGGCGCACCAAGCCAAAGAUGGGUACCGGGUGUGAGAGCAUGGCCCGGCUCACUGGGACUGAGACACUGCCCAGACAUCUACGGAUGGCUGCAGUCGAGAAUCUUCCGCAAUGGACGAAAGUCUGACGGAGCGACGCCGCGUGCGGGAUGAAGGCCUUCGGGUUGUAAACCGCUGUCAGAGGG